CACACGGUCGGAUCAGAUAUCCAGAUGGAAGCAUUUGAGCUCUUACAAACUGGGAAGCAGCAGUAGGAUUUGGGCCAGGCCCAUUACCAGAUAGGGAUCUUUCACAAACCACGAGACUACCAUUGUCUAGGGUUGUUGUGUAUCUCAGCGUCCAAAAAUCACGCGCGGGAGCCAGAGUUGUGGGAGCAUAUAUCUGGGUAUACAAAAGCUCAACUGUACCACCAUUUCCAGCAGGAAACAUUGUGAUAACUUCAACAUUCCGGCAGUCGCGGAACCAAGAAGGUCGAUCUUUGAGG
rnacentral:misc_RNA from 1 species